CAGUUCGGAUUGUAGUCUGCAACCCGACUCCAUGAAGCUGGAUUCGCUAGUAAUCGCGCAUCAGCCACGGCGCGGUGAAUACGUUCCCGGGCCUUGUACACACCGCCCGUCAAGCCAUGGAAGCCGGGAGUGCCUGAAGUACGCGACCGCAAGGAGCGUCCUAAGGUAAAACCGGUGACUGGGGCUAAGUCGUAACAAGGUAUC
rnacentral:rRNA from 1 species